CGGCCUACGGGAGGCAGCAGUGGGGAAUAUUGGACAAUGGGGGGAACCCUGAUCCAGCGACGCCGCGUGAGUGAAGAAGGUUUUCGGAUUGUAAAGCUCUGUUAGCAGGGAAGAGGAAGGAUGGUACCUGCAGAGGAAGCCACGGCUAACUACGUGCCAGCAGCCGCGGUAAUACGUAGGGGGCAAGCGUUAUCCGGAAUUACUGGGUGUAAAGGGAGCGUAGACGGUUAAGUAAGUCUGGAGUGAAAGGCCGGGGCCCAACCCCGGGACUGCUCUGGAAACUAUUGAACUUGAGUGCAGGAGAG
rnacentral:rRNA from 1 species